UCGACUAUUGCCUGCCCCUCAAGCUAAGUUUGCUCCCUCCGAUCUCCUGUGUAUGACCUCUGCCUGGAUAACCGUCUUAGUCUCUUCCUGGAUUCUCUGCUCCACCCGUCCAUUGCACUACAGUGCUGUGUUGGAUGACCACAUCCUGAGCCGCACCAAUAGCUGAAAAUUUAAUUAAACCUUUUUCCUUUGCAA